rnacentral:lncRNA from 1 species
AGAAGAGCUCUUGUAUUGAGGAGCUCUCUUCCGUAGAGUCCACUGUUCGUUUACUGAGGUCAAUCAGCUCAAACUCGAACCCUAGAUUUUGAAGUUUACGUGCUAAUGACUUGAUUUCAUCAACCCAAUUCGAAUCAUCGCUUCCGAGUAAGCAGAUCUCUCUCCCUUGCUUCACCUGUGAGUAUUGAUUGGUUUCAGAAUCUGAUUCAAAGAAUGUUAUUUUAUGACAGUAUAAGAGAAUUUAGAAGUACCCAUGUGUUGAAUUCAGGAUGAAUGCCAUCAAGCAUGAGCUGCAAGGACAAUGUAUGAUCUUCUUCCCAAAGCUCAUCUUCUUUGGAAGCUGUAAAUGGAUACGCUUUACCACCCCAGAUCAGCACCAUAUCCAUGGCGUUCAUGUU